rnacentral:lncRNA from 1 species
AUCAUAAUCAUACAGGACAAAAAUGUUGCUUAUUAAAGGUUUUGCUAGUUCGCAAAGAGAGUUCGACUGGUGAUUUGAUAAAGAACGGAUGAACAGGUACCCAUUCGGUUUCAAGUGGAACUGGUUCAACCGAUUUUUAAAACAUUCACUCGGUUUUAGAAAUUGCCAUUCAUAUUUAAAAGCUAGUGACGUGUUUAAGCAAUCCUAUUCCCAGAGGUUUAUUCUAAGAAACAACUUCCCCAACUAACCUAAAAGGUAGAACAAAGAUCUGCUGAUAGGAAAACUGGAUAACAAAUAUUGGAACUUAGAAGAAAAAGAAAAAAGAGUAAUAGUAGUAGGCAAAGUAAUGAUCAUCAAAAGGUGAUAGAGUGGCUACUAAUUAAGCAAACCCACUCUUAUAUAGAAGAUCAAACCAUUUCAGAUUAUUUAAGCAGAACUUUAGGACAACACAUAACUACUAACACCAUUACAUUUCUAGUUCUCUCUUUGAAUCAAAGUUUUUGAUGGUAACAAAAUGCUCAAAAUAUCAAAAUCAAAUCAGGAGCGCUGAUCUUAAAAGAGAAUGACAUAGACGGCAGAUGACAGAGCGGUCCAUGAAUGACGUGGUGAACCAUGUCGAUUUUCUCGUCUAUGGGCUUUGAUAGCCGAGCUAGGCCGAAUGGACCGAUAAAUGGCCCAGAUGGAUUUGGUUUGGCCUCGUUGGAGACUCCGUUGAUAAGUAUAUUUAGUUGGGCCUAAGUCUAUUUUUGGGCCAUCUCGUUUUUACCCAAAUAUAGAACUAUUUGUGCAAAAAUUAAAUCUUUAUUAAUUGUGCACAAAAGGUUAAAAUAUGUGGAGACUCCGUCUACUAUAGACCGUUUUGAAAUAGACCCUAACUUUUUUUUUUUUGAUUGAAUUUUAUUAAAUUUAAUGCCUCUAUUAGUUAUUAUUUAUUGAUUUGUCUAGUUAACGAACAUGAAAGCAUGUCUAAUUUAAAUGAUUACUAUAUCACCCUAUUACUCGGGGUCUCCAUACAUACACUUUUACCCCUACAAAAUCUUUCAUGCCCUGUUUCAACUGUCCCCCAGUUAAUGCUGUUAAUUGUAUUAACAUAUUUCAUGAAUUGUCGACCAUCAGGUUGUCGACAUUUGGACUGAGCCAGCUGUGAUGUACUUACGUUGUCAUGUCAUCUAGCGAGUAUCUUAUACCAGAUAUGAAUCGCGAACUCUAAAACAGAAUGCCGAGCUCUCUGCAAAGCAGGCUCCAUGUGGUGAGAUGAUCUAUACGGGAGGUGGACUAACCAAUUGUCCUGAUGCUCGAAAAGAUAAAACAAAAAAAAAAAAAAAAAAAAAUAAAGGAAAAAAAAANAUCUCGUUUUUGCCCAAAUAUAGAACUAUUUGUGCAAAAAUUAAAUCUUUAUUAAUUAUGCACAAAAGGUUAAAAUAUGUGGAGACUCCGUCUACUAUAGACCGUUUUGAAAUAGACCCUAACUUUUUUUUUUGAUUGAAUUUU